rnacentral:rRNA from 1 species
AUGGAAAACGUGACUGCCUCGACGAACCGCUUGUCGUCCGUCACCGGUGUGCACCUGUUCAAGAUCUCCGGGCACUCCCUGAUCAAAGGCACCGACCUAUACAUCAUGUCCAAGACCUUCCGCGUCGGCGGCCACGACUGGGCUAUCCAAUACUACCCCUACGGCCAGAAGGAGAAGGACGACGGCAACAAGGAAGCAGCGGGCAACAAGACAGCCGGCGGAGAGCAUACGUCGGUUUUUCUCUACCUGAAGAACGCCACCCAGGGCGAUGCCAGAGCGAACUACUGGUUCUCCCUCCAAGACCCUGCGUCGCCGGCGACGGGGGAGAAGAACAGAAGAGGCGGCUGCACGACCGACUUCUCGUCGAAAGCAUCGGCAUGGGGUUACAGGAAGUUCGUAAGCAAGGCCGAUCUGGCUGCAUCUGGAUGCAUCAAAGACGACUGCCUAGUGAUCAAGUGCACCAUCGAGGUUAUUACCUCCGAGCGCUUCGACGACCACGGAGAAGACGACGUCGUGGCCGUGCCGCCCUCCGAACCGAUCAAGAAUAUCGGCGGACUUCUUGAGAACGGCCUCAAAGCGGACAUGACCGUCAAGAUCGGCUUGUUCAAGAGGUUCAAGGUGCACGGUUGCAUCCUCGCCGCGCAGUCGCCAGUCUUCCGUGCGCAGCUGUGUGGCUCCAUGCUCGAGAGUAGGAGAAGCAGCAUCCGCAUCAAGGACAUUGACGCUAGAGUUUUUGAGGUCCUGCUACAUUACAUGUACAAGGACUCCCUGCCUCCAUUCAUGGAGGAGACCAGCGAAGAGGCUACAAACAUGGCACAACAUUUGCUUGUCACAGCCGAUCGGUAUGCCAUUGAAAGAUUGAAGCUACUUUGCGCGAACAAGUUGAGCAAGAUGCUAGAUGUCAACACCGUGGGUUUUACUCUGGAUUUUGCUGAGAGAAACAACUGCCAGCAACUCAAGGAUUGCUGCGUCAAGUACAUGGACGACUGCCUAGUGAUCAAGUGCACCAUCGAUGUUAUUGACGACAGUGACGACAGUUCAAUCGUGCCGCCCUCCGAGCUAAGAGAGGAUCUCCACAACCUUCUAGAAAGAGGCUUCAGGGCAGACCUGACUGUCGUGGUUGGCAAGUACAAAAGUUUCAAGGUGCAUGGUUGCAUCCUCGCGGCCCGAUCGCCGGUGUUCCAAGCCCUGCUGUGUGGCUCCAUGGCUGAGAGCACAGAAAGCAGCAUCCACAUCGAGGGCAUGAGUGCUAAGGCUUUCGAGGUCUUGCUGUAUUACAUGUACAAUGACUGCCUGCCUGGAUUCAUGGAUGAGCCGACGAAAGAGGCUACGAACACAGUAGGUUCCAUCUUGAAUCUUGCGGAGCUAUACAGUUGCCAUAUGCUAAAGGCCCGUUGUCUCAAGAGCCGACAAUGGCAUCUCUCCCUCCCGCAGCUUAUUUCUGUUAGACCACCAGAGGCACCAGAAGAUGGAAGUAUUAUUGGGGGUUUGUACCCAGAAUCUGCAUGCCAUAAUUCGAUCGCUAUGUCAAUCUAUUCAUCUACCCUCCUCGAUUUCUUUUCCCGGAACUUCUUAAGUACUAAGCCAUCGCCGGCGGCCACUGCACCCAAGCCCUCAUCAUACGAUGUCAUCCACGCCGGCGAGCACACGUUAAAGGUUGUGGGGCACUCCAUGCUCAAAGAAGGCGAUACCAUGCUCACCUCCGGGCCCUUCAGCGUGGGCGGUCACGACUGGGCUAUCGUCUACUUUCCAAACGGUGACUCGAGGAUCGUCGACGGGCAGUUCACGUCUGUUUUUCUCAAGUUGCUGAGUGACAGCGAGGACGAGGUCACGGCGACCUACACCUUCAGCCUCCAGGAUCCUGCAUCGCCCGUGACCGGAGAGAAGAACAAACGCGGACCCGCCACCGCGAAGUUCUCGUCCAACCAGCCAGGUUGGGGUACUCCUAAGUUUGUUAGUAAAGCCGAUCUGGCCGCGUCCGGGUGCCUCAAGGAUGAUUGCCUGGUGAUCAAGUGCACCGUCAAGAUUGUUACCACCAAACUCAUGAAAGACCAUGAAGUUGAUGGCGACGACAACAGCGUUGUCGUGCCACCCUCCGAUCUCCACAGCCUUCUUGAUAGAGAGCUCAAGCCGGACGUGACUGUUAAGAUUGGUUGGUUCAAGAGAUUCAAGGUGCAUGGGCGCGUGCUCGCUGCACAGUCUCCGAUCUUCCGUGCCCUGGUGGAGAGCAAACAAAACUGCAUCCGCGUUGACGAUAUGGAUGUCAACGUCUUCGAGGUACUGCUGCACUACGUGUACAAUGAGACUCUGCCCGACUUCAUGGAGGAGACCACGGAACAUGCUUUAAACAUGGCGCGCCAUUUGCUUGUCGCCGCUGAACGGUACGAGAUAGCGAGGCUAAAACUCAUAUGUGAGAGCAAGCUUAGCAAGGCUAUAGAUGUCAACACAGUGGGGUUAACUUUGGAUCUUGCAGAGAAAUAUAGUUGCCAGCAGCUCAAGGCUUGCUGUCUCAAGUACAUGCUAAGAGAUGGUGAUAGACUACGAACUAUUGUGAAAACAGAGGGGUUCGAACAGCUUAAGCAAAACCGUCCACAUGUGGUGUACGAUAUUCUUAGUAAAGUUAUUGACAAGUUGUAA